rnacentral:rRNA from 1 species
CCUACGGGAGGCAGCAGUGAGGAAUAUUGGUCAAUGGACGAGAGUCUGAACCAGCCAAGUAGCGUGAAGGAUGACUGCCCUAUGGGUUGUAAACUUCUUUUAUAAGGGAAUAAAACGAGGCACGUGUGCCUUUUUGCAUGUACUUUAUGAAUAAGGAUCGGCUAACUCCGUGUCAGCAGCCGCGGUAAUACGGAGGAUCCGAGCGUUAUCCGGAUUUAUUGGGUUUAAAGGGAGCGUAGAUGGGUUGGUAAGUCAGUGGUUAAAGUUUGCGGCUCAACCGUAAAAUUGCAUUUGAUACUGGCAGUCUGGAGUACAGUGGAGGUAGGCGGAAUGCGUGGUGGAGCGGUGAAAUGCUUAGAUAGCACGAAGAACCCCGAUUGCGAAGGCAGCGUACUAACCUGUGACUGACGUUGAGGCACGAAAGUGUGGGUAUCAAACAGGAUUAGAUACCCGAGUAGUC